rnacentral:rRNA from 1 species
CCCUUAGAUGUCCUGGGCCGCACGCGCGCUACACUGAUGCAUUCAACGAGUAUUUCCUUGGCCGAGAGGCCUGGGCAAUCUUUUAAACCUGCAUCGUGAUAGGGAUAGAUUAUUGCAAUUAUUAAUCUUGAACGAGGAAUUCCUAGUAAACGCAAAUCAUCAAUUUGCAUUGAUUACGUCCCCGCCCUUUGUACACACCGCCCGUCGCACCUACCGAUUGAAUGGUCCGGUGAAAUCUCGGGAUUGUGGCCAGUUCACUUUAUUGGGAGUUGGCUGCGAGAACUUGCUUAAACCUUAUCAUUUAGAGGAAGGUGAAGUUGUAACA